UACGUAGGCAGCAAGCGUUGUUCGGAAUUACUGGGCGUAAAGAGUGUGUAGGCGGUGCUCUAAGUCUGUUGUGAAAUCUCCCGGCUUAACCGGGAGGGUGCGGCGGAAACUGGAGUGCUUGAGGGUGGGAGAGGUAAGCGGAAUUCCUGGUGUAGCGGUGGAAUGCGCAGAGUAUCAGGAGGAACACCGAUGGCGAAGGCAGCCCCCUGGGCUAACACUGACGCUCAGGCACGAAAGCGUGGGGAGCAAACAGGG
rnacentral:rRNA from 1 species